CGAAAUAGGACCAAAAGAAAGUUAAAAAAAAAGUCAGGUAAAUAGACCGUCGAGGGUGAGUCAGGUCUUCUUUCUGUCUGAACUACAAAGACAGUAGUAGUGCGCGCCGUAAAGUUAAAUUAAAAUUAAAUUACAAAAUAAAAUUUGCAUGCUUAUGCAGUGAACUGGUGCUCUCUUAAGGAUAAAUAGCGUGCUAUUGUGAAAGUAGUGUAAAACCUUAAAUCUAUAGUACGGUUAGUUGAAGAAAAUAGUACGGAGUGAUUUUAUUGUAAACUAUUGUAUCUUUUGUUAGCAUAGUGAUUACAACAAUAGCACCUCUAAGAAAGUUCAACUUCAAUAGGUGUGAAUUAUUAGAAGAAAAGGCCCGAGUCUGCUUCCGGGCCUUUUCUUUUUCUUUCUUUUCGAGUCCUCGGGCAAGACCCGACGGAUAUUAUACUCCGCAGUGCCAUCCAUCAAGCCGGAUUAAAUCCAGUGGCGGGUAUAGCGCCAGUUCGGAGGUAAGGCAAGGUGAAUACGGGACUGGAAUCGAUUGGCAACCGCCAAUCCAAGCCGACAUCGCGCCCACCUGCUCGUAUAGUCGAUCACCUCGAUAUACAUUGCUGGGGCAAUCGCCGUCACCAUCCGCCAUCGUGCCCAUUGUGGUUGCAGGCCCUCCCAAACGAAGAUCCUUUGGCGACCGCCGACACCAUCCGCCAUCGAGCCAAUUUAGGUCGCAGGCCUACAUACCCCGACGAAAAGGCAACCAACCAUUUCAAUUCCCGGCCACCAUCGCGCAGAUUGGAUCGUAGCCGCAAGCCUACCGUCGCCGAGCAAUCGGCCACCUCCAGCGGCCGCCACCACGGUAAAGUUUCGUGUCUACCCAUCGCCACCAAGCCAACCACAAACUUCCGAGAAGGUCCGAAGCACUCCCGGUACCUCAUUAGAAACAUCCAAGCCCGAAAGCAGCAUGAUCACGCCGGAUUGCGACCGGAAAACCUCGUCAUCGUCAGCAUCAUCGCCGCCAUCAAUGCUAGCCAACGAGAUCAUCGCCGUCGACCACCAUCUGCAGUAAAAAGCGCAAGUACACCAUUGUCUCUCCAUUGAAAAUGCCCAAGGGGCGAAUAAAUUAAUAAUGUUAAGAUGAAAA